rnacentral:lncRNA from 1 species
UUAGGGCAUGUGAAGCUUGUGUUAUUUUGGGCCAAAUUUAAGUGAGUAAAUAUCCAAUGCAUUGCCAAAAACGUGGGUUGGUUUGUAGCAUGGCUUGGCAAGCAAGAAAUCCAUUCCAAGGUGGUGACUUUAUGGCCAUGUAACUUGAUGCUCAAGUCACCAAUUUGAGAAAUAAUGCAAACAAUAGCAAGAUAUCAUGGAGCUUAGCAUCUUUCAUUUUGAUCACAAUUUGAAAGGAUGAAUGGAAGAAUGUG